rnacentral:rRNA from 1 species
GAUCAGUGGCUACGAGGACGACGCUGGCGGCGUGCUUAACACAUGCAAGUCGAACGGAAAGGCCCCCUUGUGGGGUACUCGAGUGGCGAACGGGUGAGUAACACGUGAGUAACCUACCCUUGACUUUGGGAUAACUUCAGGAAACUGGGGCUAAUACCGGAUAGGAGCUCCUGCUGCAUGGUGGGGGUUGGAAAGUUUCGGCGGUUGGGGAUGGACUCGCGGCUUAUCAGCUUGUUGGUGGGGUAGUGGCUCACCAAGGCUUUGACGGGUAGCCGGCCUGAGAGGGUGACCGGCCACAUUGGGACUGAGAUACGGCCCAGACUCCUACGGGAGGCAGCAGUGGGGAAUAUUGCACAAUGGGCGGAAGCCUGAUGCAGCAACGCCGCGUGCGGGAUGACGGCCUUCGGGUUGUAAACCGCUUCCGCCUGUGACGAAGCGUGAGUGACGGUAAUGGGUAAAGAAGCACCGGCUAACUACGUG